rnacentral:piRNA from 1 species
UGGCCUAAAAUGAAUGAAUCAUCUUAC